GUUCACUUGACUGUACAUAUACUAAAACUGGAAGACUAAACAGAAGGUUAGCGUGGCCCCUGAGCAAUGAUGACACAUAAAUCCAUGAAGUAAUCCAUAUUUUU